AGGUUAUUGUGCCAAAAGCAGCUCACGACUUUGAUGUGGAAAGGUGUGAUGAUUCCAGUUGUAACCCUUCUACCUCUGGGGGUUCGAAGAUUGGCACCUUUCUUACAACCGUAACUAUGACAAAUGAGUUGUGACCAAGUAAAGAAGACUGUUAUCUUCAAAUGGAAGACAAAGAGCCAGAGUUGGUGCAACGUGACAAACCCGUGAUGGAUCAAGCCCAAGUAAAGGGUCUAAAUGAGACCGGGCUUGUUCAGAACCUACAGUUUGAAGAAGACUCGCUAAUCCUAUGUAAGCCUAAUACAGUUCUUCAAGUCACAUGCUCUGGUAGAACAAUUUCUCUGCUGCAAGAGGAAACCCUAACUACCACACUUGUACCCGAACC